rnacentral:rRNA from 1 species
CUCAGAUAACGGCGAAGUGAAGACGGCAAAAGACUCAAAUGUUGAAAUCCCCCGGGAAAUUUGUAAUUUGAAGAGAUUUGGGUCCGGCCGGCAGGGGUUAAGUCCACUGGAAAGUGGCGCCACAGAGGGUGACAGCCCCGUGAACCCCUUUAACGCCCUCAUCCCAGAUCUCCAAGAGUCGAGUUGUUUGGGAAUGCAGCUCUAAGUGGGUGGUAAAUUCCAUCUAAAGCUAAAUACCGGCGAGAGACCGAUAGCGAACAAGUACAGUGAUGGAAAGAUGAAAAGCACUUUGAAAAGAGAGUGAAAAAGUACGUGAAAUUGUUGAAAAGGAGGGGCUUGCAGCAAACACUUAACUGGGCCAACAUCGGGGCGGCGGGAACCAAACCACCGGGGACUGUACCUUUCGAGGAUAUACCCCCGGGGCAAUUUCCCUUGUACCCCCCAGCCCUGCAAACACACACCCGGCAACCC